rnacentral:rRNA from 1 species
AUACGGAGGAUCCGAGCGUUAUCCGGAUUUAUUGGGUUUAAAGGGCGCGUAGGUGGUUUGAUAAGUCAGCGGUGAAAGUUUGCAGCUUAACUGUAAAAAUGCCGUUGAAACUGUCGGACUUGAGUGUAAAUGAGGUAGGCGGAAUGCGUGGUGUAGCGGUGAAAUGCAUAGAUAUCACGCAGAACUCCGAUUGCGAAGGCAGCUUACUACGCUCCAACUGACACUGAAGCACGAAAGCGUGGGGAUCAAACAGGAUUAGAUGCCCUGUUAAUCCUGGCAGUAAACGAUGAUUACUAGCUGUUUGAGAUACGCAGUAAGCGGUACAGCGAAAGCAUUAAGUAAUCCACCUGGGGAGUACGCCGGCAACGGUGAUACUGAAAGGAAUUGACGGGG